rnacentral:lncRNA from 1 species
AUUAACAUCCCAACCAUGUUAGAAGGGUUAAAAAUGAGUUCUAAAAGAGUUAGAAAGGUUUUAGCGUUGUCCGGCGCGAAAUAGAGUCGAAAACAAGCUAAAAACCAAGUCUGGAGCAUUGUGUACCGGUACAAGUUGAUGGUUGUACCGGUACAACAAGCGACCCGAAGAAUGGCAACUCUCGGGUUUGAGUGAAAAAGGCUGUUAAACCGGUGACACGGGAAAGUGUACCGGUACACUUUGGCAGAAUGGCAAAGAUUUGGUCUGCUGUAAUUAUAAUUGAUUGGAGGGGUUUAUUUGUAAUUGUUA